UCAUUCAAAACUCUUAAAGCCCUUCUCUCUCUUUCUAAACAGACGCGUCUGUACACCUUCUCUCUCUAUACACCUUCUAUCUCUUUCUCACUAAACAGACGGCCCUAAUCGAUUCCCCAAAUCAGUAUUCAUUAUUGAGUUUACAAUAAUGUAAGGAGAUCAAAUUUCAACUCGUUUAAGGUAGCCGAGGAAUCUAAAACAGCUGGUAAAGCUAUUGGGAUCGAGGUUGACUAAAUUAUAUUUGAUAGCAAACCACGAAAUACACUUGAAUACGCGAUGGGCGUAGAAAAUUUUUGGAUUUUGCUUUUGAGUAUGGGUCUAUUGAUGGGCGUGUAAUUAAGUGUCCGUGUCCGAAAUGUGGUUUUAACAAGUGACAAAGAAGAAAUGUAGUUGAAGAACACCUGACUUGUAAGCCUUUUCCAAAAAAUUAUAAAGUUUGGUAUUUGCAUGGUGAAGAAUCAAAUGCAACUAUGCCACAAACGUUUCAGAGCAUACACGUCAUAGAAGAAACUCUGCAGCCCCAAAAUCCAAUAGCAACCAUGAUUAACGAUGCAUUUGGGUUCAUAGGGAACAAUGUCAAUGAGCCUGGUGUGUCUUGUGAGCCUAUGAAUAGUGAAGAAACAUUUAAUGAAGGGCAUAAUGAAGAAUAUGCAUAGUUCUAUGAGCUGGUAGAAGAUGGCAAUCAACCAUUAUAUGAAGGGUGCGCGAAGUAUUCCAAAUAGUCCUUUCUAGUCAAAUUGUAUCAUAUCAAGUGUUUGUGUCGAAUGACUGACAAAACGAUGAGUAUGAUAUUAGAAUUGUUAAAAGAUGCCUUUGAAGAUGCCAAGAUUCUUGUUUCUUUUUAUGAGGCCAAAAAAACCAUCAAUAAACUUGGUCUUAAUUAUACAAAGAUCCAUGUAUAUUUUGGGGAAGACGAAGGCUUACAAGAAUGCAAAAAGUACAAGACAUCUAGGUGGAAGGACAAUAAAAAGAAGCAGCCCACAAAGAUUUUGUGCUACUUUCCACUAAAGCCAAGGCUACAGAGAUUGUUCAUGUGCUCUAAAACUGCUGAGUCUAUGAGAUGGCAUUCUUCUGCGGUAACCAAGAUGGAUUGAUGAGGCAUCCAAGGGAUUCUCAAGCUUGGAAAGCAUUUGACUUGCUUUAUCCUGAAUUUGCUGUAGAUCUUCGGAAUGUACGACUAGGCCUAGCUAGUGACGGUUUCAAUCCUUUUGGAGCAAUGGCAACAAACUAUAGUAUUUGGCCUGUGGUUCUUAUUCCAUACAAUCGUCCUCCUUGGGAGUGCAUGAAACAAACUUCAUUCAUUCUUUCAAUGAUCAUUCCAGGAAAACAAAUGCCCGACAAUGACAUUGACGUGUACUUACAACCUCUUAUCCAAGAGUUGAGAGAAUUGUGGUACAAUGGAGUGCAGACAUUAGACUCUUCAAAGAAUGAAAUUUUUAAAAUGCGAGCAACCUUGAUGUGGACAAUUAGUGAUUUUCCUAGUUUGGAACCUUAUCUGGAUGGAACACACACACUCAGUUUGCUUGUCCCACAUGUAACUUUGAUACAGACUCUUGCUGGCUGAAGCAUAGUAAAAAAAUGGUGUUUCAUGGGUCAUCGCCAUUUUCUUGAAAGCGGCCAUCGUUUAGAUUGCAGCGUGUCCGUUUUAAUGGGAAAAUCGAGCAACGGGAGCCACCAAUAGCAUUAUCAGGGUCAGAUAUAUUGAAACAAAUGGAGGUAAUCAAUGCUAGUUUUGGGAAAGUACCUGAGUCGAAUGCUAAAGGUAAAGAACUCGAGGAAAAACUAUUGCUGAAGAUAGACCGAAAUAGUGGAGAAAGAGAAGCAUAUUUUUUGAUCUUCCUUAAUGGGAAUCUAACUUGUUGCGUCAUAAUCUAGACCUUAUGCACAUUGAGAAGAAUGUGUGUGGGAGUGUGAUAUAUACUUUGCUCAAUGAUACUGAAAAGUCAAAAGACAAUCUUAAAGCUCGGAAUGAUCUUAGAGAAAUGGGUAUAAGGAAAGAACUUUGGGCAGAUGAGAAUGGAAGCUAUCGUCCAGCCUUGUUCACUCUUUUAAAUUCAAAGAAAAGUGGAUUUAAGAAAGACAUAUUUUUGCGGACUUUAAAAAAUGUCAAAAUGGCAGAUGGAUACGCUAGCAACAUUUCAAGAUGUGUCGACUUGAAACAACAAAAGCUCAAGUCAAUGAAGAGUCAUGAUUUUCACAUUCUCAUGCAACACUUGUUACCAAUUUCCAUACGUAAUGUUUUACCAGACAAGGUGACUGCAGUAUUAACAGAGUUGAGUUUGUUCUUCCAUCAACUCUGUGCCAAAAGCUUAAGUCCCUUAGACCUUGACAGGCUCCAGUCUCGGUAUUUUAUCACCAUGAAUCACCUGGAAAUGUUAUUCCCUCCUACAUUCUUUACAAUCAUGGUUCAUUUAACUUGUCAUCUAGCUAGUGAAACAAAACUUGGGGGACCUCAACAGUGUCGGUGGAUGUAUCUUAUCGAGAGGUAUUUGGGACACUUCAAAUCCUAUGUGCGAAACAUGUCACAACCAGAAGACUCUAUAACUGAAGGAUAUCUAGCUGAAGAGGAUCUUACUUUUUGAUCCCAGUAUAUUGAAGGGAUUGAGACAAGAUUUAAUAGGCCACGUCGUGUUGACGAUUUUCUGAUGGAUCGAGCCUCGGCGAAUUCAUCUAGUAUUUUCCCACCAGUUGGUAAAGGACUAGGAGCUGUAACAUUUGAGUUGUCACCUAUGGAAAAACGUCAAGCACAUCGAUAUGUGUUACUAAAUUGUCCACAAAUCAUUUCAUUACUGAAUUUAAAGCUUAUGUGCGGAGGCGGUGGAAGGGUCGAAAGCCUUCAAACACGGAGAUAGAGAAGAUAGUUAGUAAAGACUUUAUUGAUUAGUUUCUUCGAAAGAUUGUUAUUCCAGACAUUUCAAAUACUGUGUCUGAUGAACUAAAGUUUUUAGCAGAUAGUCCAGCACCAUAUGCUAGAAGGUUUACAUCAUUUAAUAUCAAUGGGUUCAAAUUUCGGACAACAACUCGAGAGCAUGGGUUGAAAACGCAAAACAGUGGUUUUUUUUUUUUUACUUCGACCACAUCUUGUAUUGCUAGUGGUGCUGUUGGAAACCUGAGGCAAGCAGAUUUGCCAUAUUAUAGCAAAUUAGAAGACAUCAUUGAGCUUAACUACUAUCGAUUUAGGGUUACACUAUUCAAGUGUAAAUGGGCUGACACAACUAGGGAUAGAGGGUUUAGAAAGGAUGCAUGGGAAUUUUCUUCGGUUAAUUUUUCACAAUUGAUUCACAUUGGUGAUCGUGAAGAGCAUUCACCAUAUAUUGAAGCUUCACAAGCUUAAAUGGUAUAUUAUAUGGAUGAUGAGGUGAAUAAAGGAUGGAGUACUGUUGUUCACUUGAAACCAAGAAACUUGUAUGAAAUGGGAGAAGGAGAGAAUGAAGUUCCUGAGAAUGAGCCAUUUCCAGUGCAAGACUUAGAUCAAUUCUUUGAUGGUGUGAAUGAUCUAAUUUUGAGUCGGGAGGAUGAAAUUGAUGAAGUAUUAGGUGAAUGCAAUAUUGAAAAUGAGAUUGGGGAAGAUGAACAUAUUUGAAGAGCCACUGCCAACCCAUUUUUAGUCUAAGAAACCAAAUUGUAUCUAUGCUUAUAGUUGAUCAACAAUAUUGAAAAUUUCUUGUUUUUUUGCUUUGGCACUAUAAAUUGUUGACUUGUUCAGCUAUUAUGAAUUGAUAGAGUUGUAUCUGUUGUUACUUUUAUUGGUCAGCUAUUGUGUAUCAGCACUUGUUAUUAUUGUUGCAUCUAUUUGACAUUAUUUUAUAAGCUACAACCAUUGAGGUUCUUUUGUAUUAGAGGGAAAGAAGCAAUCUUGGUCAUAUAUAGAAACAGAGAGGUGAAAUCAUUUUGCUCAUAUUUGGAAAAUCAUAUCUAAUGCUUUUUUUCCCAUUUUGUAGGUGGUGUCACUGUAGAUCUGUUGCUUCACUUGUCUCUUUUUCAAAGGAGCCGAGAAUAUCUAGUUCUUGUACAAGAAGAAUCUGCUGUAUACUUAAUGUUAUUACUUCAUGAUAUCAAAUCUAAAGUAGGAGUUGGUGUGAUUCCUAAUGAGCUUGGAAAUUGCAAAGCUCUUACAGUUAUUGAUUUAUCUGAGAAUCUUUUAACAGGUAGCAUUCCUACUAGUUUGGGUGGCAUUUUAGGUCUUGAGGAGUUGCAGUUGAGUGUCAAUCAGUUAUCAUGUAUUAUACCUCCUGAAAUAUCUAAUUGUACUUCUCUCUCUCAUUUGGAAGUUGACAACAAUACUUAAGUCCAAGUGUUGGUUCUUUAGCUGAAUUAACAAAACAAAGUAGUAGUAGUUGUACAUGGGGACAGAAACAUGCGUUUGGCUACUGGCUGCCUGCAAUUAAUAAAUUGGACGGUUUCUCACUUUA